rnacentral:rRNA from 1 species
AACGAACGCUGGCGGCGCGCCUAAUACAUGCAAGUCGAGCGAGAAGACGUAGCAAUACGUUUGUAAAGCGGCGAACGGGUGAGGAAUACAUGGGUAACCUACCCUCGAGUGGGGAAGUAACUAGCCGAAGGUUAGCUAAUACCGCGUACGCUCCUUGGACUUCGGUUCAGGGAGGAAAGCGAUACCGCGGGUAUCGCGCUCUUGGAUGGGCUCAUGUCCUAUCAGCUUGUUGGUGAGGAACGGCUCACCAAGGCUUCGACGGGUAGCUGGUCUGAGAGGACGAUCAGCCACACUGGCACUGCGACACGGGCCAGACUCCUACGGGAGGCAGCAGUAAGGAAUAUUGCGCAAUGGGCGAAAGCCUGACGCAGCGACGCCGCGUGGGGGAGUG